AUUCAUCCCCUAGGACAGUGCAGUUUGUCAUCUCCUGAUCUUGGGUCCAGUACUAAUGCGUGCGUUUCGUCUUGUUUUCAUGGGAUCCCCUCCAACCAGCUACCAGUGGAUUCGUGUCCUUGGGGUCUCUGUGGAUGGUAACUAGAUGCUGCUCUUGUCCCAAAUCCUGACACCUCCCUCCAGGGAAUUGCCUCCCUUAGCCUCUUAAAUCAACCAAUAUUUAGAUUUGAGCCUGGAAUCCCAGCAUCUGUGGAGAGCAGAGGUUCCUGAUCCCUGGCCAGCCUCCCGCAGUGAAGGGGAGAGGAGCAGAGCAGCUGGGAGGGGCAAGUCCAGGGCCCUGGGCAACCCCCUUCUUCCUGCCCAGACUCUGCUCCAAGGAGAAGUUGCCUUAGGACCAGAUCAGAUGGAAACUCUUGUUCUUUUCUCAUCAGCAGAAAAAUUUAGGCAAGAGCUCUGGAGGACCUUCCUAGCUCAUAAAAAUGCUGUGGUCAAGUCUCUCCAGUUUUGGAAAUGUCCAAGGUUACCAAGUGUUUUGAGGGCUCACUUUGGAGCCUCUGAAAAGGAGGGGUCAGGGCCCAUGGAAGGUACCUGAGGGAUGCAGGGGAGAGAGGGGAAAGAGCAGACAGGAGGAGAGAAGGAGGGAGGGGGAGAAAGGAUGUGUGAGGGCCAGGAGCCAGGAUUCACCCUGACAGUUCAGUGACUGCUCCCUGACCCCAAGGUUCCCACUGUGGCACCUUCCAGCAGGUGGUUUCCAUCUCUUAUUGAUGUCCUGAGAACUUAGCUCUACAGAACGGUCCCACUCUAUUUGUCUGGCAUGAGUCCUGCAAAGUUUCUUGUCAUCGUUUGGGGGAUAAGAUGGGGGUAUAUAGGUUUGCAAGUGACUAGGAGCUAAGUCAGGACCUUGUGAAGCCACUCAGAGUUAACUGUCAGGUAGCCUCCUUUCCCCCUUCCCUUGCAGGAUGAUUGCCUGCAAGACAGGGCCUGGAGGAGGCCAGGGAACCCAAGGCCACAGAAAUGCCCAGGGAUGAGUCCCAGCUGGAGAUGCCUUGGCUGAGCUGACUGUGCACUUCCAGGGCUCACAGGGGUCUGUCCAGGAGACUGAGCAAGGGGACCAGGGAGGUUGUGUAGCAGGCUUCUGCACAGCAAGGCAGACAUUCUUCUUGGAGCCCCCAACCCAAAUCAGGUCUUCCACCUCCUCUUCCUAAAGACCCUUUACUGCUGUCAUUCUUUUACUAGAACUACAAGUUUAUAGGACAUAGAUUUCAGUGCCCUCAUAUGGCCAACCAUCUUCAGCUGCCAAUGCCCAAGGUAACCUCCCUCCCUACCAAGACCUGACUCAGUACCUUUCCUUAAGGAGAUGUCCUGUUCUUUCUUUCCCACCAGAACUGCCCUGGCCCAGACCCCAUUUCUGUCUGGUGACCAGGACAGUCCCCUCACCAGUCUCCCAGGUUGGGGAGGGCAGAUCCUCCUCAGCUCCCUGUCCCUGAGAGACCCCAACCGUCUUGUGUGGCUCCGGCCCACAGAGUGAUAUCCAUGGCCCAUAUCUCUCAAAACUCUCCCCUCCCACUCUGAAUCCACCCUCUAUUGCAUGCUCCCCUCACAGAACAGACUAAUUUUUGUGUGUGUGUCCUUGUUUUGCCUACCUGUACCCCAGACAGACUUUUCUGUCUUAGAACUACCUGUCCCUCUUUGGACAGUGUCUUCCUGGUACUACACAUGAAGAUGUCCCGCUCUCCACUGCUCAAGGAGAGAGUGCCUGACCUGAGCUGGGCCCAUCAGAUCCAGUACUUACCUGGAAUAGGAAAAAGAUGGGGAGAGUGACCAAAGAUUACAAAAAUCUCUGAAGCUUAUCUACUUGAGAGAGAGUCCCUGAAGAUACUGGCCUCUCAUUCCUGCUAUGUAUAUCCAAUGUGACUGAACUCUGAAUAAAAUAUACAAGUUAUAACAAUGUAGCAAUUGACCCAGCAAACGAGGACACAAACGUGUUGGAGGGUAAGGUGGUGAGAGGCGUGUUUGGGGGUGGUGGUGAUGAGCAAGUAUGUGAAGGAGAGGUAGUGCCUAAGCUUGAAAAUCAAAAAGUAAUAAUAUCUAUUUAGACAUAAGGAGAUAAAUAACGAAAUAAUUGCUUCUAUGUGAUGAAACUCUGGGAGUACACAAGGGGACUGCUAUUUUACUAAACAAAUUUUCAAGUAUAUAUAACUUUGAUAAAGUAUCCAAAUAAAAUAAUUCCUUUCCCAUAUAUGUAUGUGUGUAUAUAUAUAUAAUUAUAUACACAUAUAUAUUUGCAAUCAUUGUAUUUUGAAGAUAAAUUUUUAUACAGUCAUUUUAAUCACUCUUUUCAUUUAAGGAUUUGAGUUUGAUGUCUUGCAUACAAUGUGAUCCCACUGUAUGACUACACAAAUGUUGGCAAAAGUGAGUUCAGAGGAAAUGGUAGGCAAGUACUUCCCAGUUUUGGCCAGAAGAUGGAGAAAAAAAGAAUUCUCAAAAAAUGUUAAAAGUGUCUACGGAGAAAUAGACAAGAGAUGCACGACAGAUACAUGUGUCAGUCUGGUUCCUGCAGUUGUAUUUGUAAUAAUACACAUUGGAGCAAUUUCAUGGCCAUCGGUUAGAGAAUGUUUGAGGAAUGAUCCUUUCAUAUCAAGAAGGACAUUUCAAAGAUCAAAACCUGAUGGAAAUGCUGGAGACCAUGGUGCUGAUAGGAGCUCAUGCGUGUUGACCAAUUACUACGUGACAGGCAUUGGCUCCACGCUUUUCCUGCACUGCUCAUUUAAACACUGGACAAUCUAAGUGUUCUGAUUUAGCCCAUUGGACAGAUAGAAAUGGAGGCACAGAAGAUUAAUGUGUUUAACUUCAAACCCUGGCAGAUUAGGUUUUUCAUCCAGAGCCUGUGGCUUCACCAUAGAUGUGAUUCGCGUUCUGUCAUUCUCCACUUUAGGAAUUUCCAGUAUUCCAAAUAUGAGAAGCUGAGAAAACAAACAACAAACUCAAAACCCUAAAAACCAGGAUACGGAAGGGUAGAUGUUUGUUGGGUGUGGAUUUAAAAUGGACUUUUUUUGCCCCAAGCAACAAAGAGGCACCUUAGAAAAUAGACAAGAGACAAGAAGAAGAGAAGCUUUAACAGAUAGUUGGUCCAAGGAAGAGACUCUUCAGAUGGAAGGUCACAUCAGCUAGAAACAUUAAUAUGACUGGAUGGGCUCAAACCACUGACUUUUCAGUCAACAUCCGACAGCACUAACCCAGUGUUCCAGAGACACUGCUUGUUAAACAGUGAAAGCUGUUGCUCAAUUGUGUCAUCCAUAAUUGUCAAAUAUUGCCAUUUAGUAGCACAAGGAAGUAUUCUCUGUUGCCAAGCUAGAGUACCCAUAACUCUUCUGUUUUGUUGAACAUUCUUCCCCACCACAAACCCUCUUUAGAAGACUGGGGGCUCCUAAAACAUUGAGGCUGAGAGUCCUGUCCUUGUGCAUGUUUGGGCAUUGACCCAGGGCCAAGUCAGUGGGAGACUCCUCCACGCCUACGCCAGGUCCCCAGGUGACAACUGAAGUCUCUGGAUCUGAAGUCAUCCACUUUCCCAUUCCUAGCUCACCUCACCCAUUGUGAAGCCUGGUUACUAUUGCCAGAGACCUGAGUGGGCAGAUGCCCGCACCAAAGACAGAACCUGCCAUGUGCCCACUUGCUGAUCCCUCCAUCGUUCUAGACAAAGGCAUCAUAAGCCAGGGACCUUGGGUUUGCUCACAAGGCAGCACCUCACCUAGUAGGCAUUAGUUCAUUAUGUAUAUGUAUAUGUAGCCCUCAGGUUGUAUUCCUUAAAUAUACAUAGUUUAAGGAUAUGUAUUAUAUAUAUAUAAAUAUAUAUGUAAUUCCUUAAAUAUAUAAUUUUAAUACAAUUUUUUUUUUGAGACAGAGUCUCACUCUGUCUCCCAGACUGGAGUGCAGUGGCACUAUCUUGGCUCACUGCAAGCUCCACCUCCCAGGUUCACACCAUUCUCCUGCCUCAGCCUCCCAAGUACCUGGGACUACAGGCAUCCGCCACCACGCCCGGCUAAUUCUUUUUUGUAUUUUUAGUAGAAAUGGGGUUUCACCAUGUUAGCCAGGAUGGUCUCGAUCUACUGACCUCAUGAUCCACCCACCUCGGCCUCCCAAACUGCUAGGAUUACAGGCGUGGACCACCGCGCCUGGCCAAAACAAAGUUUUUAAAAGAUUCCUUUAAUAAACAUUUACAAUAACAUCAAGAAAUAUAAACGACAUAGCAAACAUGUGAAAGCCAGCCAGGCUCUCAAUGGCAUCAAGAAAUAUAAACUACAUAGAAAAGAUGUGAAAGCCAGCCAGGCUUGGCUUCAAAUCCCACCAAUUUGGAAGGCUGUGGCAGGAGGGUUGCUUGAUCUCAGAAGCUUGAAACUAGCCUAGGCAACAUAGUGAGCCCUCAUCUCUACUGAAAAUCAGAAAAAUUAUCCGGGUGUGGUGGUGUGAGCCUGUAGUCCCAGGAAUCAGUGGAUGAGGCCCUAGGAUGUCAUAGGCCUGAGAAUUCCAUGCUGCAGUGAGCUGUGAUUGUGCCACUGUACUCCAGCCUGGGUGAAAGAGUCAGAUCCUGUGCAGAAACAAAAGAAGAAAAAAAGAGAUGUGAAAGCCUAUAUAUUGAAGACUACCAAGUACUGCUUAGAGCAGUUAAAGACUUUUGGAAUAGAAAAUGUUCCUUCUUGCAUUUCAAGAUUGCUUUUGUUUUGGGGGGACACACUAUUUUUUAGGAAUAUGAAGUUCUUCUUAGGCAUUCCUGUAAAAAAGGCCACUUUUUGAUAGGAUUGUAUUGAAUCUGUGGGUUGCUUUGAGUUGUAUUUUUAUCUUAACCGUGUUACAACUUCCAACCCAUGGACACAAGAUGUCUGUCCAUUGAUUUAGGUCUUCCUGAAUCUCCUCAAGCAAUGUUCUGUAGUUGUCUGUGUACAAGUACUGCAACUUCUUGAACAAAUUUAUUCCCAGGCAUAUUAUUCUUACAAGUGCUAUUAUAAAUGAAAUCAUUGUGUCAAUUUUC